rnacentral:lncRNA from 1 species
AUCCCUACUUAGAUGCUGUCCAUUGUUCCCCCAUUGCAUUUAAAGGCUACUCCUGCCCAGGCAUGACGUACACUGUUGGCCCUGGCUAGCUGCUCCCCCACCACCCUGCACUGGGCCUCCUCACCCUUUUUGUCCUUGGAACCUUGGCACAGGCUUGGGAUGCUCCCCAGCUCUACACAGCCACUCUGCUCCAUGUCCCCUGGAACCUAGGCAGGGCCUCCUGCUGUGAGCCUCAUGUGUUUCUCUUCUCUUUAAAGGCCGCAGUGUGCCCACACACCCAGUGGGUAUUUGCUAAAGGCAUGCACACAUGAGCAAAGGGAAGGAGAGAGGAUCAGCACGCCCCACCCCAGGAGGUGAGGCAGUGGGCAAGGCCCCAGGCUCUGGGCUGAAGGCGGCUACUGCAAUCCUAGCUGACACCAAGGUCCAGGUGGGGUGGGGGUGAACAGCAUACCUGGUUGGGCACAAGGGUGUUGACAGGGCUGGAAGCCACUGUCCCUGUGUCUCCUGCUUUCCUUCCCUGGGAGGUCCCUUGGGCAUCUCAGCCUAGUGAGGCACUUUCCUCCCUCCGAGGGCUGGCAUGUGACAAAGAGAGGGUGGCGUUGGGCGGCACCUGUGCCUGCGUCUGUGUGAAUCAGAUCUGCUGCCUGUUGUUGUGAGCUUUGUGUCUGCCUGGAUUGGUGCGGGGGUGUGUGUGUUUGUGUACCAGCGUGUGAUUGUUUUGGUUUGCUGUGAUGAGUGUGGGUGUGUUUCUGUGGGGGCCAUGAGUGCUCUGUGGGGGUGUCUGCUGUGGGAGUGGGUCCGUGUCCCCAUGUGCCUGCGGAGCUGUGUGUAGGCAUCUGUGUGCUCCAUGAGCCUGCAUGUUCCAGCUCCCCCCACCACAGGCCCGCCAGACCCUGCCCAGUUCCCCACUCUUCGCUCUCCGCAGUUCCCAUCACCUAGCAACAGACAGAAUCAGAGCAGUGGCCUCUGCAGACAAAGAAGAUGCAGGCCUGCUGCAGAUCCGAGUUCUGUGACCGGGGUCCUGUCCGAUGGUCCUGCUUCCCCAGGCAUCCCAGAAGUAGAGCCUCCAUCUCCACCAGAGACUGAGAGCAGACACCUGCCGGUUUAUCUGUCCCUUCAUGUAGCAGGUGACAGAGGUGCCAGGGGCAUGGCAGGGGUACUCUGACACAGCACUGCCCCAUGGAGCCCAUGUCCUAGGGCAGAAGACCCAAGACACACAGCCAGCCAGGUGAGAGAAGAAAUGUCAGGUACAAAGCACAACGAAGAAGAAAGCCGCUAUGAAGGUGGCCCUGUCGCAGGCUAGGGUUGGGAAGAGACCCUGAGAUGGAGGUGAACGUGCAGGACGUUACUCAAGGAGGGCUCUUGGGUUGACACUGUGGACAGAAAGGGCAAGAGGAGACAGGGCUGGCGGGGAGCUGCGAUCAGCUGCAACAGAAGCCCCAGCAACGCAGGCGGAGGUUCUGAAGAUUGAUGGCCUUCCAGAGGGCCCCAGGGGAGCUGCUCUGGUUACUCAUACGGAGGGGCGUGACCUGAGUUGAGGCAGCUCUCUGCAGCUGGGCAUGCUGGAUCCCAGCGGGUGGGGUGGUUGGGGGGGUUCCAAGCAGCCCCCACAGAUGCUGUCCUAAUUAGGAAGGCUUCUGUGAUGCCUCAUCUUGUGCAUCAACUUGGCCAGGCCACGCUGCCCAGUUUCUGGUCAAACACCGGUCUAGACAUUUCCACGAAUGUAUUUUUUAGAUGGAAAAAAUAUUUAAGUCAAUGGACCUUGAAUAAAGCAGAUUACCCUCCAUCAUGUAGGUGGCCUCAUCCGAUCAGUCAGAGGCCUCAAUAGAACCAAGACUGAUCUCUGCCAAAGAGAGAAUUCUUUCAGCAGACGGCCUUCGGACUUGAGCUACAACGGCCACUCUUCCCCGGGCCUACUUGACAGACUUUGGGUUUCUCAGCCUCCACAGUCGUGUGAGCCAAUUCCGUAAGAUAAAUAUCUCUCUCUCUCUCUCUCUCUGUCUGUCUGUCCCUCUCUCUCUCUCCGGGAAAGAACCUCAGGGUAGCUGGGAGCUUGGUAUGUUACAGGACAGCAGGGAGGCCAGAGCCGCGGUCAGUGUGAGGGGGUCGGAGUGCAGUGGGGCCUUCUGUGCGUGUGCGGCCUCAUAAGGUGGCAUAGACGUGCACUUGUUCUGUGUGGCCAGGAUUUGGGUGGGGGUGAUGCUUCCUCUGUUCCCUGGGUAGAGACUCAAUGGCUGGCGGCCUGGGGAAGGCAAGGAGGCCAUGAGGGGGCUGCUGCUUUGAUCCAGGUGAGAGGUGACGCCACUAUAGGGCAGCUGGUGGCAUGCAUAAUUCAAAACAAGCAUAUUGACCAGAUGCAGUGGCUCAUAGCUGUGUUCCCAGCCCUUUGGGAGGCCAAGGCGGGAGGAUUGCUUUAGCCCAGGAGUUUGAGACCAGUCUGGGCAACAUAGGGAGACCCUGUCUCUACAAAAAGUUUAAAAAAAAAUUAGCCAGUAUAGUGGUGUGCACCUGUGGUCCCAGCUACUUGGGAGGCUGAGGUGGGAGGAUCACUUACGCCCAGAAGUUGGAGGCUGCAGAGUCAUGCUCACACCACCGCAUUCCAACCUGGGCAACAGAGUGAGACCCCAUCUCAAUAAACAAAAAACAGGUGUAUUUUGCAGGCAGCAUCUGAAGGCCCAGCUGCUGGCUUGGCUGUGAGCUUUGAGGAAAUGAGCACAGUCAAGAUGGAAGUACAGAUGUGGGCAGGCCCUGUUCCAGGCUCCAGAUGUUUUCAUCCUAGCACUGGUAAGGAUGAGCUCAUUUGUUGAAGGGGGAAGUUAUGCGCUUCAGGAGGGCAAGGGAAUGGGGCAUUGUUUAAUCCUGCCUUAUCCCUGAGCCCCCACAACUAGAGAAAAUGUGUAACAACAGUGGAAAGGCUGCCUUCCUUCCAUGCCUGUGGCCACUAGGUGCUCUCACCCCUGCUGCAGGCUAAGGGCAUGGCCGCCCCCUGCCCAGGCAGCCUUCAAGGAAUUCCGUGCCGAGCCCAGAGCCAGAG